rnacentral:lncRNA from 1 species
GCUCUUCACAGAUUUUUUUUUUUACCAUGUAUACUUUCCAAAUAAAAACAGAUGUAAAAGAAUCACAAAUACUUUUAGGGUGUUGUAUUUUUAAUCAUUGUUCAAAAGAAUCAUGCUAAACGAUGGGUGUAGGUCAGAAAGAGAUGAAGUCACCCAGCAAGCACGAGGCCCUGAGUUGAAUCCCAAACUCCACAAACAGAUGAAAAACAAAACAAAACAAAACAAAAAAAAGCACACAUAUUGUAAAUUUUACCUUCUUUAAGUAUGUGGUUCAGUAGUGUUAAGUAUAUCCACAUUAUUGUGUAAAUGUUUUUAUUCUAUAGUGAGAAAACAAAACCAUUCCUCCUUGUUAAAAUACCAUACACAGAAAUUUGAAAGAUCACACACCCGGUGUUUAAAAAGGCACUGUGGCACACAGAUGUUUGCCCAGCUGCAAGUGCCUUUGUGAAGCAUCAAAUUCAAGGAAACAGUGCAGGUGCACCCUACCCUCUUAGUCCACUCUCCAAGACCCUGCUCAAAUCUGGAACGGCAGCAGCCAUUGUAACCUUGCACAAAAGGUCAGGACCAUCCCUGAGACUCCCCACCCAAGUGCUAGGCCACUCUUCCUAUAAAAUAAGGAUGAACUCAGUCUCCAGCCAUAGGGGCUGUCUGUCACUCUGAUGGGACAUCCUCUGUUUUCCAGAUCAUUGCUUAUCAGCCCUACGGGAAGUCUGUGGACUGGUGGGCAUUUGGAGUCCUGCUGUAUGAAAUGUUGGCUGGCCAGGUAAUUGCAUUUUAAGCGAUCUGUAAGGAAAUUACCCUCCACCUCCAGCCAUAUGGUCUCUGGGGAAAGUGACAGCUUGGUCACAGCUCAUGAAUCUGAGUACCUCUGACUUUUCUGGCCUUGGGGUUACUUACGUUUGCUGAUCGUCUUUUCUUGUGAACGUCCCAGAGGGUAACCUCAGCUUGGGACUGGGGGUGGGGAGAAGGAAUCCCUGCUGGACAGAGAGAGCUGGGAGGAAGGCCAGGCAGGGCCGCUUCUCCCACCCUGUCCUCUGCUCCACAGGCACCGUUUGAAGGGGAGGAUGAGGAUGAACUCUUCCAGUCAAUCAUGGAACACAAUGUGGCGUAUCCCAAGUCCAUGUCCAAGGAAGCCGUGGCAAUCUGCAAAGGGGUAAGUUGUUCCCCCCUCAAGGCCAGGACUACCAUGCAAGGGUAGUACCCCAACCAGUUGGAACCAGAGGAUUGCUAUUACCUCUCGCUCUGCGCCUAACACCAGAGCCCUGCUUAUGGUGGUGUUCUCACCUGGAAGAGAGAGUUCCCUUCUCAUUUGCACCAAGAUCUGAGAAGGUAGCCAUGUACUGGAGUCCCGCUUUUAACUGGGCACCAGCCCCAAGCCUUACACAAAGAAACCCAGAGAUGCUGCUCAAGAGCUGGCACCAUGGGAAGAGCGCCUAGGGUGGUCUGCCUUGUCCUUCUCUGCCGCGUGUGUCUUUAGUUAACAUUAGAAUUGUAUGGCAUUUGUUGUACGAAAAUUUCAGACAGUCUUGAUUCUAAGAGAUCCCCUGGAUAAGCUGAAUUAAAUGCAGUGUCCCCGGACUUGCAUGAUCUCACUCAGCUUGUAGGACACAGGUGCACACAAAGCCAUGUAUACACACACCACACACACACACACACACACACACACACACACACACACACACACAUACACGCAUGCACACACAGAGUUCAAAGGGCACAGGUACACACCUACAGCUUAUGGAAAUAAUUUUUGUGAAGAAAGUCAGGCAGGAGUUUGCAGGUAAGGUUUAUUUGUGCUACAUUUCAUGUUGGAUCCAAUCUGCUUUUUAGAUGAUGCAGACUUAGGCCCUAUCCCAGGGUUAGGUCUACAUACCAGUGUUCUGAAAAAUCCCCCACAUAGCUCAAAAUGCAAAAUGCACUGCCUUUAAACGCAGUAUCCAAAGGACGCAGUUCCUCAACCACAAUGGAAGUGUGAAAGCUUCACCCUGAGACUGACGGAACAGCAUGCAAGGAUAGAGGUUUUACAAAGGCUUUCCCACCAGCCAACAAGGAGGGAUAGUUCUAAAGGUUAGACCCUGGGCUGUGCCUGAGCACAAGGCUCCUGCUUUGUGUCUACAUACACCAGGGCUGUCGUCAUAGAUCUCUAGGAUACGUGUACGUCUCCCAUGCCUUACACAACCUCCGCUCUUCCUGGCCCCAGUCCAAUGUCAUCCGUAUAGCUCUGGUUAAGGAAAUCAGCAUCAGUCAGGAAGCUCAGCCUGAGUUUUGGCCCUGGUGACGUGAGCUGGGCCAAACUCACAGCUUGAAAACACCUCGUAAGACUGAACUCUCACCCGCUGUAUCACCUGAGCAUUGUGUUUCAGCUACACCAGCGAGGAGGUAGACAUCUCUGGGGAAGCCACGUGUGAAUUAGCCUCAGUCCCUAACAGCUUCAGGUUAAAUCGGUUACAAGCAUUUUUCCUUGGAGGGUGUGAGGCAAGGAGAGAAUAAAAACAAGGAGCCCAGAGGAGACUCAAGGGUUCAUCAGGAGUACUGGCAGAGCCUGUAGAUAAAGGAUGAGAUGCAGACAGAGGCCGGUGAGGGUCCUGGAGGCAUUCCGCUAAGAGAGGAGCGGGAGGAAGUCAGUCGUGGUCUUUAAUUUGUUUAAUGAUUCCCAACAUCUGAAGAUCUGGAUAUUUUCCCAUAAAUUCUCAGCUUUCCGUCUGCCACAUCGUCCACUCAUUCCUACAAAGCAUCAGUCAGCAAGACUGGAAAUCACCAUCCCCUUUAGAUGGAAUGCACCCUCUCCAGUUCG